CAGUUGUAGAUCCACGGAAGUGUCGUAAAACAGGGAAACCUGUGUGUCAACGUCAACUUACUAGCUAGUAGCAAACGUUGUGAGCAACUAGUCGGCUGAAUAAGUGUUUAGAACGCGUAUUAAAUGAUUUCUUGAAACCUUAUUCGCGUAGCUAAAUUGUUAGCGAGCUGCCCAGAUACGUAUUUAUAUUGUUGGUUUAGUUUAUGUAAAGCUAACGUCAGCCAGUUGACAUUAUGGAGGUUUUACGUCCAGCUCUUAUCAACAUAAAUGGAAGAAUAUACCGAAGGAAUGUCAUAAAGGAAGAAAACUAUGAGGAAGAAGAAGAUUACUCUUACAUGGGACCACCAGAGGGCGAGGACCUUGCAGACGAAGAUGAAACCUGUGAUACCAACUUCAUUGAACAGACUGAUAAAGGGUACCGCUGUGCCAUUGAUGUCCCAAGUGUUCUUUAUAAGUACAUCAUUGGGAAGAAAGGAGAAACACGCAGACGUCUGGAGUUCGACACAAAGACGAAUAUCAGCAUCCCAAAACCAGGAGUAGAAGGACAGAUUGUUAUCACAGGUUCCCAUAAAGCCGCAGUCUCAUCUGCUGUCACCCGAGUUGAGGUUCUUGUCGAGAGUUUCCGGAAGAAGCAGCCUUUCACGCACUUCCUGUCGUUCCCUCUGAGUGAUCCCAAAAUACAAGAAGGAUUCCAGAGAUUUAAAGACGAGGUGUUGGAGCAGUGUUCACAGGAUCGUGGAGUGGAUGAGAGCAUAUUUCAAAACCCAGCAAAGCUUCACCUGACAAUCGGCACCCUGGCUCUGUUAAAUGAAAUAGAAGUGAGGAAAGCAUGUGAACACCUCCAAGAGUGUCAAAAUGUGAUCAGGGACCUCACAGAGGGAAAACCUCUGCCGUUGGAGGUGAAAGGUAUCGAGUACAUGAAUGACGACCCAGCAAUGGUGGACGUCCUAUAUGCCAAAGUCAAUAUGAAAGACGGAUCUGACAAGUUGCAGGUAAUUGCGGACCGGUUGGUCGAGCACUUUGUCUCCGCGGGGCUGAUGGUCAGAGAGUGGGAUAGGGUGAAGCUGCACGGCACCGUGAUGAACACUCUGUUCAGAAAGGACUCCACAGUUGAAGACACGGGCGGCCAAGGAAGACAAACCAUGAGCGAAAGAGAGGCCUUUGAUGCCAGAAACAUACUGCAGAUAUUUCGCGCUCAUCGUUUUGGAGAGUUUGAGCUGAACUCUGUGUUGCUGUCCCAGAGGUAUUCGUCGGAUUGCACAGGCUACUACUCGUCUACAGGGAGCAUCAACUUCUCAUGAGCUUCAACAGGACUGAGCAUAUUCUGAGGGACAUGACGAAGGAUGCGUUGGGCAGAUGUCCUCAGUAAUGAUGGUACUGAAAACACAUGUCAUCGAUGGACGUGGCCGCAGGAUGGAAAGUGUUCCCUCCGAUGGAGGAAACUCUCAUUUGACAGCGAAGCACUUCGCGGAAACAAGUUUCCAUCAGAUGAUCGACAUGAAUGGACUCACAACAAAGCACUGUCAACGCUUUGCUGAAUCUUUUUUUGUCGAAAUCAGUCGGAAAACAAACAUCUGUUCAGGUUCUGGUUUCCUUCACGGUGGCAGGAGGUGCUGCAUUUUUUAACAUUCUCUGUAAAUCUUGUAGGAAUAAAUAAAACGUGUGGAGCAUCCA